rnacentral:rRNA from 1 species
GACGACAUUAGACGAAUCAUCUGGAAAGAUGAAUCAAAGAAGGUAAUAAUCCUGUAGUCGAAAAUGUUGUCUCUCUUGAGUGGAUCCUGAGUACGACGGAGCACGUGAAAUUCCGUCGGAAUCUGGGAGGACCAUCUCCUAAGGCUAAAUACUCUCUAGUGACCGAUAGUGAACCAGUACCGUGAGGGAAAGGUGAAAAGCACCCCGGAAGGGGAGUGAAAUAGAACCUGAAACCGUGUGCUUACAAGUAGUCAGAGCCCGUUAAUGGGUGAUGGCGUGCCUUUUGUAGAAUGAACCGGCGAGUUACGAUUUGAUGCAAGGUUAAGCAGUAAAUGUGGAGCCGUAGCGAAAGCGAGUCUGAAUAGGGCGUUUAGUAUUUGGUCGUAGACCCGAAACCAGGUGAUCUACCCUUGGUCAGGUUGAAGUUCAGGUAACACUGAAUGGAGGACCGAACCGACUUACGUUGAAAAGUGAGCGGAUGAACUGAGGGUAGCGGAGAAAUUCCAAUCGAACCUGGAGAUAGCUGGUUCUCUCCGAAAUAGCUUUAGGGCUAGCCUCAAGUGAUGAUUAUUGGAGGUAGAGCACUGUUUGGACGAGGGGCCCCUCUCGGGUUACCGAAUUCAGACAAACUCCGAAUGCCAAUUAAUUUAACUUGGGAGUCAGAACAUGGGUGAUAAGGUCCGUGUUCGAAAGGGAAACAGCCCAGACCACCAGCUAAGGUCCCAAAAUAUAUGUUAAGUGGAAAAGGAUGUGGCGUUGCCCAGACAACUAGGAUGUUGGCUUAGAAGCAGCCAUCAUUUAAAGAGUGCGUAAUAGCUCACUAGUCGAGUGACACUGCGCCGAAAAUGUACCGGGGCUAAACAUAUUACCGAAGCUGUGGAUUGUCCUUUGGACAAUGGUAGGAGAGCGUUCUAAGGGCGUUGAAGCAUGAUCGUAAGGACAUGUGGAGCGCUUAGAAG